UACGGGGGGGGCAAGCGUUGUUCGGAAUUACUGGGCGUAACGGGUUCGUAGGCGGCCUACUAAGUCAGACGUGAAAUCCCUCGGCUUAACCGGGGAACUGCGUCUGAUACUGGAUGGCUUGAGAUUGGGAGAGGGAUGCGGAAUUCCAGGUGUAGCGGUGAAAUGCGUAGAUAUCCGGAGGAACACCGGUGGCGAAGGCGGCUUCCCGGACCGACACUGACGCUGAGGCGCGAAAGCUAGGGGAGCAAACGGG
rnacentral:rRNA from 1 species